rnacentral:lncRNA from 1 species
AGCUCUAAGCUCCCGAAGCUGCGCCGCAGCUCCUCCGAGCUUCAAGCUGCGGAAGACGCUGCGGCGCACGCCCUUCGCCGGGUACCCCGCUUGGGCCUCGCGCUCGGGCCUGGGUGAAUCGGCGCUCACACGGCGCCUAUGCUCAGCUCUGCGCAGGCGGAACAUCUGCCGAGCCGGCGCCGGAGCGGUAGGGCACGCUGAGGGGAUGCUCCACCGUGGCAUGCGAACGCGGACUGUGUCAGGCAUGAGAACGCGGGAGCCCUGCGGCUGAGGAAAGCAGACGUGCGGGGAGCCAAGCCCAGACUCUCAAGAGGGUAGAAAUGGCUACUAGGAGCACCUAUGAAUUCAGGGCCCUUGUCCUGUAAGUUGACUGAUACAAUGCAGUGUUUUCUUUCAUCCAUGAUCUCCAAAGUCUAUUGAGGAAGACCUUCAGCUUUUGGUAAAGAAACUGGCCAUCUGAAACAACCUAUAAGGUAAGUGUAACAAUUCUGGUGUUUUUCUUUUUGUGUCAACAGCAUGGCUAGCCCAAAGAAGAAUCAGAAUCACUGGCUCUGUCUAUAAAUAAGUUUCCCUUAAAAGCAGGAUCCUUUUUGUGGAAUAUAAUUGAAAAGGAAGCAAUUUAUCCUAUCCAAUUUUCCUCUAUCACCCAAAGCAGAAGCUCUUUUCACGUCAGCAUAAUGAAAGGCAAUCUGAGGAAGACUCUGGGAAGUCUCCUUGCAGUUAGCAUUCUUUUCUACUGCAAAAGGUGAAUCCAGCCAAACUUCUAGAAGUGUAAAAUGAAUGGGUGAAAAAAGACAAUUUGAGGAAAAAAAGUUGGUGUAUCAAAGGUUAAGAGAAAAGUAGAAUUGGAAUGAAAAAGUAAAAUUGGAGGAUGAGAAAAAGAAAAUGAAAACAGAAAAAUUACUUAAAAUUUUCUGUGUUGUUUUUUGCUUUAACUUACAAGCAGAAAACUUAGUUACUAAUGGCAUAGUAAUUCAUCCAUUAAACAGUUAGUCAUAUACAACCUACUCUGACUUAGGGACUGGGCUAAAUGCUGAGGAUGCAACAAGGAGCAAGAUACCCAUGGCCUCAUCUCUGUUUAUAGAAGUCAAAAUUUGGUUCUAAGUAGGAAAUAAAUGAAUCUCAAACACACACUGUAUUAGUGUGGUGAUGCUCUCCCCACUAGCCAAAUGCCCUGGGCA